GACUUUGUUUAACAAGUUGGACUUGGCCCAACCUAAUCAUUAAUGGCCUAUUAUGCGACUUAAACCAGUUAAUCUUCUUCCCGCUUUGGAGACGAACGGAGUUCACUUCCGGCCAUUGUGUCGUCGUCGCCGAUUCAUCCCGGUUAUUAAUUUGUGUCAUUAUACUAGUUGGCCAGUCCUAGAGCUGAUGCUACCCCUAAAUUACACAAACCCAACUCUGUUUAUCAUCAUCAUCUUCUUCAUCUUUUCAUGAAAUCUCUUCCUCUCUCAUCUCAUGGGUGUCGGUUUCACGGAUUGGUGGAGAAAUAGCAGCUGUUGAUUGAAACUAAAUAGGUAGGGUUAUGAAGGACUGAAAGAUUGGGAGGUUUGUGAUGAGAAUGAGAGGAUGAAAUUAGGGUUUAGAGAGUACACGAGAAAGCAUCCUGCAACAACACCUACAUUCAAUCACCGUAAACUUGAAUCACCGGAAGCUUGUAGGCUUUACGUCAUGAUUACUCUAUGAAGGUGAUUAUUAGCACUUGUUUUGUUCUGAAGCAAACAUAUCUCAUGCAUUCACAUUUGUAAGAAUGUCAUGAUUACCUGGCUAUUCAAGAUGUUUAUGCCUAGAGAUUAGCAUAGCAGCACUCUGGAUUUUGGAAGGUUAUAUCGUUCCCCGUUGAUGCAGUGACAGAUACAUAUGGAACAUUUCUACCUGAUGGAACAGCUUUCCAGUUUCAGCAGAUUCUGAGCUUAAGUGUUUUAGAGGAUUCCCGAAUCACCUCUUGCGACACAAGCAGUCCAGGUGGUGACAGCAACGGUGCCGCAUCCGAAAGCCAGUACACCAAAGAAGAUGUUCUUACCAGAGCCUAGAAAAGACGCAAUAUCUUCAUGCAGCUUUAAAUGAACAGUUCCAAUGUUCCAUUUUCCAAGGGCGGAGGUGAAGAAUAUUCGUCAAGACGCACGUGUAAUACUUGUACGAAAGUGAAGAAUAUUAGUCGAGACCGACGUGUAAUACUUGUAAUUACAGUUUCCGUUCACUUCACCACCACCACUCUCACUUCAACUCUGAUUAUCAUCGAUUUAAUGUAAGUUCACUUAA